rnacentral:misc_RNA from 1 species
UUUCAUGUCAAUUUCCAUCAAAUUCUAUUAAAUUCGAUAGAAUUUGAAAUGAAUUCUAUAUACUUAAAACAAUCAAAUUUUUUGGAUUAAAACGCCCAUGUAUUCUCAUGAACACUUCCUCUUUUCUCCUGCAUCUCCUCCAUUAAUUGUUAUAAAUUUAUUAUAUAUAAGUUUUUUUUUUAUAGAGGAAGAAAUUAUAAUAUUUUUUUAUUUUAUUGUGAAAGUUAGUUUA